rnacentral:lncRNA from 1 species
AUUCAAAGCCCAGCUGCAUAUUGCAUAACACCUUGAAUUAGAAAAUCCACGACCCACAAAAGGCUUACCUACUUUGUGCGGUUUAAAUAAAGCAGAGUGCUGCUCCUCUUUAAAGAACUGCUUUACAGUUAUCUUCCUGUCAGAAUUCCAAUUAUUCUAUGACUCAGUGGGAAGUGAGCAGCGUCUCUGCCUGGCCGCCCGUCGUCUGGGAGGUGAGGAGUGCCUCUGCCCGGCCGCCACCCUGUCUAGGAAGUGAGCAGCAUCUCUGCCUGGCCGCCCAUCCUCUGGGAUGUGAGAAGCGCCUCUGCCCGGCCGCCCCGUCUGGGAGGAAGUGAGGAGCGCCUCUGCCCGGCUGCCCCGAAUGGGAAGUGAGGAGCGCCUCUGCCUGGCCACCCCCUCUGGGAAGUGAGGAGCGCCUCUGCCCGGCUGCCCCAUCUGGGAGGAAGUGAGGAGUGCCUCUGCCCGGUUGCCCCGAAUGGGAAGUGAG